rnacentral:rRNA from 1 species
GAUGAACGCUGGCGGCGUGCUUAACACAUGCCAGUCGAACGAAGCAUUUAGGACAGAUUACUUCGGUUUGAAGUUCUUUAUGACUGAGAGGCGGACGGGUGAGUAACGCGUGGGUAACCUGCCUUGUACUGGGGGAUAGCACCUGGAAACGGCUGGUAAUACCGCAUAAGCGCACAAUGUUGCAUGACAUGGUGUGCAAAACUCCGGUGGUAUCAGAUGGACCCGCGUCUGAUUAGCUAGUUGGUGAGAUAACAGCCCACCCAGGCGACGAUCAGUAGCCGACCAGGGAGGGUGACCGGCCACAUUGGGACUGAGACACGGCCCAGACUCCUACGGGAGGCAGCAGUGGGGAAUAUUGCACAAUGGAGGAAACUCUGAUGCAGCGACGCCGCGUGAGUGAAGAAGUAAUUCGUUAUGUAAAGCUCUAUCAGCAGGGAAGAUAGUGACGGUACCUGACUAAGAAGCUCCGGCUAAAUACGUG